CCGCCCCGAUUCGCGAACCAAACCCUAACCCUACCUCAUCGCUCCAAUGGCCGGAGACCCGUCGCCGUCGCCGUCGCCGCCCGGAUCCCCCGCCAAGCACCGGCGCCGCCGGGAGCGCGACGACGCGGACCCCGCCCCCGACGCCUCCCCGAAGCGCCGCAGGCACCACCACCGCCACCACCACCGCCACCGCCGUCCGGACGACGCCCAGCCCCCGCCGCCCUCCGCGGCCGACGGAGAAGACGUCGAGGAGGGGGAGAUACUAGACGAUGCCGGCGCCGGCGCCGGCGGGGCUAUGGAAGUCGAUGGCGGCCCCCGCGGGGACGACCCCGCAUCUCCGCGAGCCGACCCGGAGCUAGUCGGUGAUCAUGCUGGCACCAACUCGGCCGUUGACGUGACGCAGCCUAGUCAUUCUCCGCCCUCAAAAGAUGAAGGCAGGUUGAAUCACACUGCUCGUGGCUCUGAAAGCGUAGGUAUCUUUUCAGGUGAUGAGGAUAAUAAUGGUAAAGGACAUGAACAGAGUCACAGGGUGUCAAAGUCUCCACGGCCGACAAAGGACAGGGGAAGGAACCAUGAGGACGAGCGUCAAACUCUGUCCUCUAAUAACGAUUCUCAUCAGAGAGAUCACACCACCAAGAGAUCUCCUUCCUCCAGGAACCACAUUGAAGAGGUUCAUUCUAGGAAUCACCCAAGGUCCGGAGAAGCUGAUGCCAAAGCUAAUGGUUCGCGGGCAAGUCCAAGGGCUGACCCUGAUCGUGACAACAACGACAGGAAUGGUUUUGGUAGGCAUGCAACUAGGACACGGGAAGACGACAGAGAAAGGAGCAGCAGUCGUGUUGUUCGUGAUGGACAUAGUGAUAGGCGUGAUAGCCGGGAAAGAUAUAUGGAUGAAAGAAGGCACAGCAGCAUAGAUAGAGACAAUGUUGAUCGUAGGCACAGAGAAAGGAGCAGCAGUCAUAGUAGACCUGACAGAAGGGAGAGCGCACACCACACUCGUGAAGAAAGCAGGGAGAGGGAAAGGCGAAGUGGUAGCUCAAGGCAUAAAGACCAUCAUAAAAGGGAUACAAGCAAGGAUCGUUAUAAAGAUUAUGUCACGGUUGCUACUGGACAUGAAAGGGAUAAAGUGAGAGAUGAUAGAGACAGGGGCCGGCACAGGGAUAGAGAAAGUGAAACUCGUAGAAGUGGAGCUGGAGAACGCAAGGACAGAAUUAGCAGUAGUGAUAGACACAAGGACUCUACACGCUCGAAAUAUAGCACGUCUGAUGCUCAUAAAGACAGGUCAAGAUCUGGGGAGAAAGGUAGAGAUGUAGACAGCAGAAGCCAUCGAUCUAGAGAAGUGAAGGAACAUUCUUUCAAGGAGGAAGAUGAAGAAGAGUAUCAAGAGAAAAUUGAGCAACAGUUAGCAAUGCAGGAAGAAGAUGACCCUGAAAAAAUUAAGGAGGAAGCGAGGAGAAGGAAAGAAGCUAUUAUGGCGAAAUAUAGGCAGCAACAAGCACAGAAGCAGCAACCGGAAUCUUUACCUAGAAGCAAUGAUGAAGAAGCAAGAGCAGUGGAUAAAGAUGAGACUGUAGAUAUGAAAGGUGAUAAUGAUAGCAAUUCUACGGACAACGAGGAAGCUGAAAAUAAGCAGGACUCUUCAGAUGCAUUUGUUGGUGAGGCAGACUUCAAUGUGGGUAAGUCCCCUGCUCAUGAUGCUGUUUUAGCCUGUGCUGAAGCAUUGGGCAAUGAGGGGACAACAGGUGUUUCAGGCCUUGGAGAGGGUACUCCAAAGAGUGAGAGAUCGGCAGAUAUGUUUUGUGAUGACAUCUUUGGAGAGUCACCUGCAGGAUUUCGGAAAUUGGGCAAGGGAGACGGCUUGUGUAUUGAGAAAAAUGCUCUGCAUGAUAAUUGGGAUGAUCCUGAGGGUUACUAUACUCAUCGAUUUGGGGAAUUGUUGGAUGGCCGUUAUGAAAUUACAGCCGCGCAUGGGAAGGGGGUGUUCUCAACAGUCGUGCGGGCAAAGGAUCUUAAAGCUGGGAAAGAUGAUCCUGAAGUAGUUGCUAUUAAAAUUAUUCGCAAGAACGAGACAAUGUAUAAGGCUGGUAAGCAAGAGGUUUCAAUAUUAGAAAAAUUGGCAAGCGCGGAUCGUGAGGACAGGCGCCACUGCGUGCGGUUCAUUUCUAGUUUCAUGUACCGGAACCAUCUUUGCUUAGUUUUUGAAUCUUUAAAUAUGAAUCUCCGUGAGGUACUAAAGAAAUUUGGUCGCAAUAUUGGGCUUAAACUGACUGCUGUGAGGGCAUAUUCAAAGCAGCUUUUCAUCGCUCUGAAGCACCUGAAAAACUGCAAAGUUCUGCACUGUGAUAUAAAGCCAGACAAUAUGCUGGUGAAUGAUGCUAAGAAUGUCCUGAAGCUAUGCGAUUUUGGCAAUGCUAUGCUUGCUGGAAUGAAUGAGGUCACCCCUUAUCUUGUCAGCCGUUUCUAUCGGGCACCUGAGAUCAUUCUUGGGUUGCCCUAUGAUCACCCAUUGGACAUCUGGUCAGUCGGCUGCUGCCUAUAUGAACUUUCUACUGGAAAGGUCCUGUUUCCAGGUGCAACUAAUAAUGAUAUGCUUCGUCUUCAUAUGGAACUGAAGGGCCCCUUCCCUAAGAAGAUGCUCCGAAAGGGUGCUUUCACGAUGCAACACUUUGACCAAGAUCUCAAUUUUAACGCUAUUGAGGAAGAUCCUGUGACCAAAAAGCCUAUGAGGAAGUUGAUUCUUAACAUCAAACUGAAGGAUUUUGGUUCUUUGGUUUCAAAUUUUCCUGGCGAGGACCCAAAAAUGCUCUCCAAUUUUAAAGACCUUCUUGAAAAAAUAUUUGUCUUAGAUCCAGAUAAGAGGAUAACCGUAUCACAGGCACUUAGCCAUCCAUUUAUCACUGGCAAGUGAAAAUAAGAUGUUGAUUCCUCUUGACAUUGUAAACUACAAUUUGGGUUCCUCUUGUCUAAUCAUCGGCAUUUCUAUCUUGUGUCUGGGAGCUAUGAGAUCUGAGUGCGUGCCCAAAUGGACGAAGCAUGGGGUUGCUGAAGAGAUGCUGUCUUACGGACCUUGCUGCAUGCACUUACCAUUUGGAUAGUUCUGUUGCUUGGUUUCUGCCAGGGCCUCUGCUGCAUGCACUUAUAUAUCCUAAAGGACCAACAGAAGAAGGUACCCUGGUUGUUAUCUGGGUAACUUGUGUGUUUGAACACCAUAUAACAUUAUUUCCCCCCUAUUGAAAUCUGAUGAUUCUGCGAUUAAUUUUGCUAGAUGAGUCAUGUGUAGAUGUAGUGAUACUGAAGGUGCCCUGGUUGAUAUCUGGGUAACUUGUGUUUGAACACCAUAGAACAUCAUUUCUUUUUCUCUUUUGAAAUCUGAUGAUUCUGUCAUUAAUUUUGCUAGAUGAGUCAUGUGUAGGCGUAAUGAUACUGAAGGUGCCCUGGUUGACAUCUGGGUAACUUGUGUGGUUGAACACCAUAUAACAUCAUUUCUUUUUUCUCUUUUGAAAUAUGAUGAUUCUGCAAUAAAUUUUGCUAAAUGAGUCAUGUCUAGACGCAGCGAUACUGAAUUUUGUCAAUAUUGGAUAUUCACAUGUUCUUAUGUUGGUCA